GACCCCUUCUCCUGAACCGUGAGUUGGAGUGCGCUUGCGCUUGGCAGGAGAUAGGGAGGGAAUCAGGGCUAGUGGGGGGGUCAAGGGGAAUUGGUGCAAUUGCUGCGUUUAGUGCUUGGCUGGUUGGUGCCUGCGGAGCGCUUCCCUCUGGGGCUCCCCCUUCAGGUAGAGAUGAGGUGAGUACUUCAAGGGAACCUGUCUGUGACAUUGCCCACCUGGGGUUACGCGUGGUGGUGAGAGAAAAGAUACUAAAUUUAAUUUUGCAUUUAUAAUGUCUUAUACUCUACUUGGUCCCAUUUGACAUGGAGUCGAUGAAUAGACCCCAUAGGUGCAAUGUAGCUGAGGGCGAAAAAGGUAAGCAGCUCCCCUAUACCUUUGGGAAUUGGUUGCAAGGAUUUGCUAACUAUGCUAGCAUCCAAUCAGCUAGGUUUCCAGAAAAGGCCCUGUCACUGUUUUUGUAUUUGGACUUGAUUUGGGGGGCUCAUACGGUCUACAGAGGGCAAUGCUGGUUUAAAUACGACCAGCAGUUUAGCAAAAAUGUAAAAUAUGGCGGUUAGGCCUCAGGAUUUCGGUGUGCAAAAACAGAAACCUGUGGUUGCUUCUCAAUAAUCCCUGUCGGCCGCUGGCACUUCCGGAGGAGCGUCGGCGGGUCACAAGAAAGACAUCUGGUGGCUCUUUAAUGAGAGCCACUGCAGAGGAUAUAGCAGUUGUAGGUUUAAGCAUGAGUGCUCCUACUGUGGUGGGGCUCACCCAGCCGUCCGUUGUUUUAAGAGAUGGAAACCCCUCCCGAGGUCGACGUCCAAGGAUGAUGUUCCUCUGGGAGAGGACACCAGUGAGAGCGGAAAGACAGGUGCCGUGGCUCGCACUAUAUCUCAGGCAUUCCCAUUUAUUCCGUCGGGGGAGGCGUCAUUGCACCUAACCUGUCCUCUGUUCGGGGUAAGGAGGGGGUCCUGGCAGCCGAGCUAGGGAAGGAGGUGGAGCUGGGGUGUAUGGCCGAAAUCUGUCUUAUCCGUCAGGGUCCUCGGUUCUCGAUGGGAUUUCAAAAGAGGACUGUCGGGUGCGAUACACUUCUUUCGAUCGGGCUUUGGAUUUUGUUCGCAAAGUAGGACCCGGGGCUCUGUUGCCGACGUCCAAUAUCCAGUCGGCUUUUCGGUUGCUGCCAGUUCACCCAGAUUGUUUUCAUCUGUUGGGGUGUCAGUUUCAAAGUGAUUUUUCUGUGACAUGUGCCUUCUCAUGGGUUGUUUUUGAUUUCUUGUUUUUAUUUUGAAGUUUUCAGUUCCUUGUUGGAAUGGAUCGUGGCGCGCGUGUCGGGCUGUUAUUCCCUCCUUCACUAUCUUGAGGACUUCUUGUUUGUCGGUCUGGCUAAUUCCAGUGUAGUGGUUUGUGUAAUCUGGUUUGUCAAUCUCUUUCUGCACUAGUCCACUUUCAUAGGCUUAUGGUGGAUUUUGGGGCUCCAGUGGCUGAGGAGAAAAUGGAGGGUCCUAGUACGAUUAUUUCUUCCUGGGGAUUUACUUGCCGGAGACCAAGCUUCAGGUUGUCAUAUCUAAUGGAUCAGGUUCAAGAGGCUCCCUAUUGGGUUAUUUGAAUUCUGCAAGCCCUACAGGGCCAUUUGAAUUUUGGCUGUUUGAAUUUUGGCCUUUGAGCUGUUCACGGAGGCUGCGGCUCAAUUGGUUUUGGUGCUUUUUCUGAGGGCUAUGCUGUGCGGCCAUUGGCGUGGUUAGAUUCCUUUUUGGUGCUAUUCCUGAAUGUAGUGCAGGUUCUUUUCCGUACAGAUAACCUUAGUGCAGUUCAUGUUGUUAACUAGUUAUCUUUGGGUUCUCUUCCGGGAUGGGCCUUAUUGUGACGGUUGGUUCUGCAUUGCUUGAAAUUUAAUGUUUGGGUGCAGGUGCCAGGUGUGUCUAAUGUAUUGCCGACUCUCUUUCUCGCUUCCAGUAGGAUGAAUUUCAGGAGGUGACUCCAGAGGCAGAGGCUUGUGGAGGACCCUUAAUGCUUCUGGAACCUCAGUUUCAGAACUUGACUGACUUGAUUGAGAGGUGCCUGUCUCCUGAGUCUUGGGCAACAUACCUGAUGGUGUGGGAUCAAUUUGGUUGGUCUUCUUCAGAAAGUAGGUUGUUAUCCACUUAGCCUUUCUUUCUGACUUGCGGGAUCGAGGGACAUCCAUGUCAGUGGAACAGGGUAUGUCAGCUCUUUCAAUAUUAAUGGACUUCAUGUGAGGGGAAGAUGUGACUAAAGCAUUUGUGGUUCGGAGGGUAAGGCACAGACGUAAACAGACGUAAACUGAUGGCGGUCGUUAGGCAUCCUGUAUUUGUGCACUUGCUGGGAGUCAAAGCAAAUGCCUGCUAUUUAUGUUUCCCUGUUGGAGUACAAUCUGUUUCAGCUGGCCUUUUCUGUGUGUUUUUAUGCAACUCUAUGGGUCGGCAGAUUGGUGGAGUUCUAGAGCUCAGUCACCCCAUUUUAGGAAGGAGGUUCUUUAGUUUAAAAAAAGAUGUGAAAUUUCUAAUUUGGCAAUCUAAUACUGAUCAAACGGGUAGUGGUAGAGUGAUUAGGAUUGGAGCGACCAUAAUUUGGAGAUUCGUUCCAGUGCAUGCAUGAAUUGUUCUUAUCCAUUCACUAGAGUGUUUAUGUUGGUGUUGAGCUCGUUAGGAGUGGAUGAUACUGUAUUGCAAUCGUUAGGAGUGGAUGAUAGUGGUUAUUUAACUCAUUCAUUCUGCAUCGGUCUGACUCUGCAGGCAAGCUGGUUAGGUCUGUCAGACUCUUCCAUUUAGCUGCUGGGUCGGUGGGAAUCAAGCUGGUUUUCGAUUGUAUGUUCGGUCCUUGUAAGGUGCUUUUAUGGGUGCCUGGGUAUGUUUAAUGUUCGGUUUAUUUUUUUAUUGCUAGAUAGUCUCUAUAUGUUUGGAUCCUUGGGCAUUCUUUUAUAUAUUGGCCAGCUUGUCAGGUAGACCAGAGGUCAUAUGACCAGGAUCUUGGGAUUACUCUUUACCAGGUCAAUGUUAGGUGGUGUGGAAUUAGGGAAUUGCGCUGGCAGGAAUUUUAUCUGGAGUGAUCGCUUCGAUGAUAUGUGAUGGAACCAGUUAUAUUGCUGAUUCUACUGAUCCACGCUGGUGGUAAUUACCUGGGUCAAGAGUGCGCAACACAAAAAGGGGUAUAGUGACGUGGAUGUCUCUUCACCAUGACAAUAACAUGCCUGGGUGGAUUGGUGAUUCCUCAUGUUAAACUAGAAGGAGAUAACCAUAAUUGUAUGUGUACUGAUUUAAUACAUCUUACCCAUGUCGGUUUGGAUACAUUUAAUAUUGGGUUAUGAAAUGGAAAAAUCAACCAAUAAAUUGAUUAUUUCUUUGUGUAUCUGCCCCUGGCAAAAUUAAUUAAACAAUGCGUGCACGCUCCCUGAAGUAAUUCACACCAGACACAGGUUCCAGGUUGUUGAAUAACUUGAGGAAUGUUUAUUCAGAGGGGACGGCAAGUCCCUUUUAAAGCACAAUUACAUCAUAGGCACUGUCAGAGAUAACAUGGAAUAAUACAUCAAUAAUUGGUUAGGUGUUAAGUGGUCUUCCUAAUACUCUGCCUACUAAGGGUGAUGUCACUGGGACCAUGAGGGUCUCCCACGGUUUCCCAGCGCCAUCUUGCUGCACGAGGUAGUUAGUCGGUGUUAUUGGGGAGGAGGGGUUAGAAGCUUCUAGCAGCCAUUUUGACUAUAUAUGCGUGUAUAGCUUAUAUACUGAUUUUGUGAGAUGAGUAAAUAGACAUUUUACUAACUAAGAAAUAUAUCAAGACCUUAUUUCCACAACAGGUUACAAUUAAUAAAUACAAAGGAGCUAGCUUUGGGGGACCCACCCCCCUCCCUCUAGUAGGGGUUGGGUCUGCGGUGGCCAGUUUCCUGCGCCAGCAAGUUUGGUAAAUGAAUAAUGCCUGGACGGGCUUGGGCAGUCGCAGCCUGAAUUUGGUUGAUCAUGAAGGACAGGCUGAAGAGGCUCUGGGAGGAGUUUAAAAUGUACCUGUCUGCUGGGUAAAACCAGCAACUGACAGUAUUUGGUUAUGCUGGUUUAAAUAAAGCUGUGGCCGUUGCCCUAAUCCAUUUAACAUCGUGUUGCGUUACUUAUUGGGAAUGGAAGGGUAACGGGAUUUGGUGAUUGAAGGAGUCAGCAGUCAUGGAAUGUAGCCAGCAAGUGGGCAUGCCAGUUAUAUAAGUGGGAAGAUUACCAGAGCAUGAGCAAGCUCCUUGGCAACAUCUUGAUGAGGGAUGCGGUCAAUGUUUUUAAGGUGUAAUUGGCAGGUUUUAGCAACAUUCUCGAUAUGAGGUGGAAAGGUGAGGCCAGGAUCAAAGAUAACACCAAGACAAUGAGCUUGCAAGGACGUACUGAUGCUAGUACUAUCAACUUGCAGGGAAAGCGAAGGAGGAGGAUCAGCAUUAUGAGGGGGAAAAAAGAGAAGCUCAGUUUUAGAGAGCUUACGUUUCAAAAACCAGAGGACAUCCAAUCAGAGAUUGAAGAAAGGCAAGCAGUGACACGUUGUAGGACCGUGUGGGAGAGAUCAGGGGAGGGGAGCAGGGCCGGAUUAACAUAGGGGCUGAUGGAGCUGCAGCUCCAGGCCCAGGCCCAUGGAACAGGCCCAUUGAUUUUAAAAAAAAAAUAAUAAAAAAAAAAUUUUUUUACAUUUUUUUUUUUCACACACUACUCUUAGGGAUUCCACCUGGCUUUUAUUUUAUUGGCACAGCCAGUAUUUGAGGCUGCCUGGCUGGUGCCAAUAUUGCAGUGAUAUUGGCAAUACAAAUGCUGGUAUUUUUCUCAGUAUAAACAAGAGAUUACUAUGCAGUACCAGCACUGGCCAGUAGGGGUCGCUGUGUGUGGAGACAAGCAGGGAUAGGAAAUUCCAGCAUAUCCCUCCCUGCCUAUCUAUACUCACUGAUCUGCAGGGGUGCAGCUACUGAGAGUCCAGACAGCAACUCCCACCCUGCAGAGACAGCCUACAGCUCAGGGAAGUAAGGGAUGGGGGAAAGGCUGCAAGGAGACAUACACUGAGAUACUAAGGGACACUAGGAGACAUUAUGGCAGACACUGAAACUCUAAGGGACAUUGGGAGACAUAAUGACACAGACACAUGGGGACACAGUGUCCCCAUGUCUCCCAGCCAGUGUCCCUGGUGUCUCAGUGCCCCCUAGUCUCCCAGUGACCCCUAGUCUCCCAGUGUCUCACUGUCCCCAUGUCUCCUAGUGCCUCAAGUGUCUCAAUGUCCCCAUGUCUCCAAGCUAGUGUACCUAGUGUCUGUGGCCGUGGUGUCUGUGUCCCCAUGUCUCCCAGUGCCCCAUGUCUCAAUGUCCCCAUGUCCCCCAGCCAGUGUCUCUAGUGUCUGUGUCCCCAUGUCUUCAAGUGUCCCCUAUUUUCCCAGUGUCCCCAUGUGUCCCAGCCAUUGUCAACUAGUUUCCCAGUGUCACUGGCGUCUCUGUGUCCCUAGGUCUCCCCGUGUCCCCAGGUCUCCCCGUCUUCCUAGUGUCCUAGUGACACAUACAUGGGGACAUAGACACAUGGGAAUACUGGAGGACACAGGGAGACAUGGGGCAUUGAGACACUGUGAUACAUAGGGACACUGUAAUACAUAGGGUCACUGGGAGACCUGGGGACACUGAGACACUGAUACAUAGGAACGCUGAGACCUGGAGUAAUCGACACAUGGGGGCACUGGGAAACAUGGGGGCACUGGGAGGAAUCCAUCUAUACAGCAUAAUCCAACUAAGUAGUUUUUUGGUGAUUUUACAGCAUUUUCUCUUACGUCACUCCUUGUGAUUUACAUCAUGUGAUGUCACCCAUACAUAUUUAAUUAUGCAAAUUAGUAAGGCCGGUAUGUUGUUCCAAGAAAGGUGGCAACCCUAACUACUUUUCACAUACUCUUACUUAAGUAUGGAGACUCAAGAGGGAUGUAUGGGAACAAAACUUGUGUGGACUGGCUGACAAUGAAAAUAGUUAAAGGGACACUAUAGUCACAAGAACAACUACAGUUUAUUGAAUUUGUUCUGGUUAGUAGAAUCAUUACCUUCAGGCUUUUUGCUGUAAACACUGUCUUUUCAGAGAAAAUGCAGUCUUUACAUUACAGCCUAGUGAUAACUUCACUGGCCACUCCUUGGAUGGCUGUUAGAGAUCCUUCCUGGGUCAUGGCUGCCUAAAAUGCAUCCAAACAUUCAGUGUCUCCUCAAUCUGCAUGCAGACACUGAACUUUCCUCAUAGAGAUACAUUUAUUCAAUUCAUCUCUAUGAGGAGAUGCUGAUUUGUCAGGGCUGAGUUUGAAUCAUGCUGGCUCUGCCCCAUAUCUGCUGUUUUGUCAGUCUCAGCCAAUCCUAUGGGGAAGCACUGUGAUUGGAUCAGGCCACCACUUCUAUGAUGUCAGCAGACUGCUUGUUUUUCUGAGUCUAACAGCAUGCAGAGUUACAGCUUCAGGCUUGAAUACAGUAAGAUUUUUACAUAUUUAUGGAGGCAUGAGGGGCCCAGGGGGGUUAGAUGGUGGUGUUAACACUAUAGGGUCAGGAAUUCAUGUUUGUGUUCCUGACCCUAUAGUGAUCCUUUAAUGUAAUGCUGACUUUGGUCUCUCUAACACUGUGGCAUGUUCCCUUUCUUCUACACUCACUACAUACAGCUUUUCUCUGUCCCAGACUAUAUACCAGCAGCUUCUGCCUGCUAGUAAGAAGGUAAGGAGACAAGUGGACCAGCGAGUGCUAUGGGACAGUUCUUUAGAAAGCGUUGAGUGAGCGCAUCAUUAGAUGCAUUUAUGCCAAGCUCAUGGUGCUGUCUGCAUAGUAUGCCCUUAGUUGGCCAGCUGCAUGAUUGGCAGGCAGUCUGACAUGCAUUCAUGCCAGGCUGGCUUUCAAAUUCUUUGGGCAGACAUGUCCUCUUUUUGGGCAUGUUUGCCCCUUUUGGCAGGUUACGUGAUUUGUGUCAGUGGCACACCCUUUUACCGUGCCCUUUGACUUCCUGCUUGUCUGGACACUGCUGUUAGGGAUUAUGGAUUUACUUGAAAGAUGAAAACAUAAGUUAGAGGGAGAUUAGCAUAGGGUAUGUGUUUUCUUAUAGCUGCUGUUUUCUUUCUCUCCAGCACCAUCUCCAUCAGAUACAUGACGCUUGGGAGUGUUUAAGUGUUUUUGGUCGAUAUGAUUCUUUAAUUAGGCCCGUCAUAAUUGUCAGCACCAGGCCCACUGGGCUGUUAAUCUGGUCGUGGAGGGGAGAUAUAUCUGAGUGUCGUCGGCAUACAGAUGGUAGCAGAAUCCAAAGGAGUUAAUGAGUUUGCUAAGAGAGGCAGUAUAAAGAGAGAACCGAAGGUGACCAAGAAUAGAUCCUUGGGGGACUCCAACCGAGACAGGAUGAGAGGAGGAGGUGUAAUUGCAAAAGGAGACACUGAACUAUUGUUGGGAGAGAUAGGAGGAGAACCUCGAGAGGACAGUGUCACAGAGACCAAGAGAUUAAAGAGUUUGGAGAAGGAGAACUUAAUCAACAGUGUCAAAAGUGGCAUAGAGGUCAAAAAGAAUUAGUAUGGAGUAGUGGCCUUUCAGUAGUGGCCUUUGGAUUUAGCUGUGAUUAAGUCAUUUGUAACUUUAAUAAGAGCAGUCUCAGUAGAGUGGAGGGGGUAAAAGCCAGAAUAAAGAGAAUUAAGGAAGGAGUUGAAAGUGAGUCAAACUAGUAAAGACAAGUCUUUCUAGAAGCUGUGAGGAAAAAGGAAGCAGAAAAAUGGGACGAUAGUUGGAAGGGGAAGACAGGUCUAGGGAUGGCUUUUUUAGGAUGGGUACAACAGGAGCAUGCUUAAGAGGAGCAGGGACAACACCAGAUGAAAGAGCUGUUUAGUAUGUGUGUUAAGGAUGGCACAAAUACAAGGGGAGAGAGAUCUGAUAAGGUGGGAAGGUACUGGAUCAAGUGGACAGGUGGUGGGACGAGGGGAGAAGCGCUGCCACCUCCUGUUCUGCAAUUGGGGAGAAGGCCUGUAGGGUAGGGAAGGUAUGGUCCAGGUGUGGUUAGGAGAGGGAGAAGCAAAGGGGGGAGAAUUAUUUAUUUAGCUGUACAUGUAUCAGUGUAUGUGUCAUUGAGAAUUUGAAUGUCAGUGAGGGUGUAUGGCAGUAAGUAAGUGUAAGUAUGAGAAGAGACUGAUGGUCUUUAACUCUUUUGGGUCCUAUGUCGGAAAAUAUCCCCCAAAAAUAUACCUAUUGUGGUCAAUGUCGGAAUGCACACAUCCGCGGCACCUGGUAUGGAGGAUCGGUGGUACUAUCCAGGGAAAGUCCGACAUUGGAAAGCAAAAGGUAGAAUAUUUUGUCAGAUAUACAGGGAGUGCAGAAUUAUUAGGCAAGUUGUAUUUUUGAGGAUUAAUUUUAUUAUUGAACAACAACCAUGUUCUCAAUGAACCCAAAAAACUCAUUAAUAUCAAAGCUGAAUAUUUUUGGAAGUAGUUUUUAGUUUGUUUUUAGUUAUAGCUAUGUUAGGGGGAUAUCUGUGUGUGCAGGUGACUAUUACUGUGCAUAAUUAUUAGGCAACUUAACAAAAAACAAAUAUAUACCCAUUUCAAUUAUUUAUUAUUACCAGUGAAACCAAUAUAACAUCUCAACAUUCACAAAUAUACAUUUCUGACAUUCAAAAACAAAACAAAAACAAAUCAGUGACCAAUAUAGCCACCUUUCUUUGCAAGGACACUCAAAAGCCUGCCAUCCAUGGAUUCUGUCAGUGUUUUGAUCUGUUCACCAUCAACAUUGCGUGCAGCAGCAACCACAGCCUCCCAGACACUGUUCAGAGAGGUGUACUGUUUUCCCUCCUUGUAAAUCUCACAUUUGAUGAUGGACCACAGGUUCUCAAUGGGGUUCAGAUCAGGUGAACAAGGAGGCCAUGUCAUUAGAUUUUCUUCUUUUAUACCCUUUCUUGCCAGCCACGCUGUGGAGUACUUGGACGCGUGUGAUGGAGCAUUGUCCUGCAUGAAAAUCAUGUUUUUCUUGAAGGAUGCAGACUUCUUCCUGUACCACUGCUUGAAGAAGGUGUCUUCCAGGAACUGGCAGUAGGACUGGGAGUUUAGCUUGACUCCAUCCUCAACCCGAAAAGGCCCCACAAGCUCAUCUUUGAUGAUACCAGCCCAAACCAGUACUCCACCUCCACCUUGCUGGCGUCUGAGUCGGACUGGAGCUCUCUGCCCUUUACCAAUCCAGCCACGGGCCCAUCCAUCUGGCCCAUCAAGACUCACUCUCAUUUCAUCAGUCCAUAAAACCUUAGAAAAAUCAGUCUUGAGAUAUUUCUUGGCCCAGUCUUGACGUUUCAGCUUGUGUGUCUUGUUCAGUGGUGGUCGUCUUUCAGCCUUUCUUACCUUGGCCAUGUCUCUGAGUAUUGCACACCUUGUGCUUUUGGGCACUCCAGUGAUGUUGCAGCUCUGAAAUAUGGCCAAACUGGUGGCAAGUGGCAUCGUGGCAGCUGCACGCUUGACUUUUCUCAGUUCAUGGGCAGUUAUUUUGCGCCUUGGUUUUUCCACACGCUUCUUGCGACCCUGUUGACUAUUUUGAAUGAAACGCUUGAUUGUUCGAUGAUCACGCUUCAGAAGCUUUGCAAUUUUAAGAGUGCUGCAUCCCUCUGCAAGAUAUCUCACUAUUUUUUACUUUUCUGAGCCUGUCAAGUCCUUCUUUUGACCCAUUUUGCCAAAGGAAAGGAAGUUGCCUAAUAAUUAUGCACACCUGAUAUAGGGUGUUGAUGUCAUUAGACCACACCCCUUCUCAUUACAGAGAUGCACAUCACCUAAUAUGCUUAAUUGGUAGUAGGCUUUCGAGCCUAUACAGCUUGGAGUAAGACAACAUGCAUAAAGAGGAUGAUGUGGUCAAAAUACUCAUUUGCCUAAUAAUUCUGCACUCCCUGUAUUUUGACGUAGGACCACAAAAGGUUAAUGAAAAUCUGCAUUGAAGCUGCAUAUGUCUCUGUGAGAGUGUGUAUAAGAGUCUGUAAUCAUGUAUGUUUCAAUUAAUCUUGUCGAUCUUAUAAAUCGAUGCUUUGAUUUUAUAUAUAUUUAAGGCUGGGCCUGUAGUUGUGGAAGGGGCUUUGGUCCCCUUCAUAAGGGCAUCCAAUCCUCUACCACGGUAAUUGGUCUGCCGAGUUACACUCACCCGUAUCCACGUGGUCCGGUCUCCUGGCUUGCUCUCCGUUUUUUUUGCGUUUGCCGACUGCUGGAUUUCUCCAACCUCGUGGUUUCGCUGUGCCAUCGGUCCUGCUCCUGUUGCUGCCGGGAGCCUGUCUGUUUCGUGGGUCCGUUUACUUGUCGGCGAGUUGGCCUGAUGGGUGUCUCUCUGCCCACUGUCCAAGUAAUUGUGGGGUAUGGUAGAACGUAUAUAUUUUGUAUGGUACACUUCUUUUUUUCCCCUCUUUAUUACAGGCCUAUUGCCUUGUCGUUUCCGGCACACCACAACCGACUGGUGUUAUUAACUAGGAUGUUAUUACUAAUUAUAUGUUAUCUAACCAUUACGGCAAUAUUGCCCCGAUCACAAAUUUAAGGCUGGACCUGUAUUUGUGGGAGGGGCUUGGGUCCCCUUCAUAAGGGCAUCCAAUUCUCUCCCACAUUAUUGUGGUUGGUCUGGCGAGUUACCCGUCCCACCACUCCCUUUAUUCACAUCACCCUCUAAGGUUGGCCCUCUUUAUUACAGGCCUACUGUCUUGUCGGUUCGGCACACCACAACCGACUGGUGUUAUUAACUAGGAUGUUAUUACUAAUUAUAUGUUAUCUAACCAUUACAGCAGUAUUGCCCAACCACAUAUAUAUAUAUAUAUAUAUGUGUGUAUAUAUAUAUAUAUAUAUAUAUUCCACAGCAUUGUACAAUACGGUCACCAGAUAUACAAAUAAGUUCAAUUCACAAGUCUGACAAGAACAAGAGGUAGCUAGGGUCUAAAGGAGUUAGAUUACAGUUACACAGUAGUUGAAGCAGGCAGAGUACAUUUUGUGAAUUGUCCACAAUAUUACACUGUGUCCACUCUUAGAUUUGCCAAAAAAAAAUAAAGAAAUGUACAAAAGAUCUCACCAUAUGGGGAUUGGAGCUAGACAUUCCAAAAGCAGAUAACAAACUCCAGGUGUGCCAUUUAGGAGGAAAUAAACCUCCCCCCCCCCAAAAAAAAAACCUUAGAAAUCUACAAAAUAGAAGUACAUUUUGUUCCAUGUAGAAAUGUGUUGCAUUUGUAAUGUUAGCAUAGUCUGUAAACAGUAUGUUAAAGAAUGGAGAGACAGAUUUAGGCUACCCAGGACCUUUGGCAGGAGGCCAAAUUGGGGCCCCCUCCAGGAGCCGUGAGCUUUGCUGUGUGAAUGUUGUGUGUGUGUGUGUGUUGACCGAGUGUUGCAUUUGUGUGUGGGAGACUGGUGUGUGUGUGUGUGUAGUGGCUGGGUUUUGUGUGUGUAUAGAUGGCUGAGAGCUGCAUGCAGGGUUGCUGAGAGUGCCUCUGUGUGAUGAUUGAGUGUUAUGUGAGGUGGCUGAAUUUAGUGUAUGGAGGAAUUUGACUGUUUUGUGUGUGUGUUUAGUUGAGUCUGAGUGUGACUGAGUGUUGUGUAUGUGUGUAGUGUUUAAGUGUGUGAAAGUUUUUUUCUUUUGCCCCUAUCCUGCUUAGCUUUUGGAGAAGGCCAGUGUUAUCCUGGGUGAUCCAGUGGAGGCACACUGUGUGCAGGAUGCCUGGAUGUCUAGUGAGGGAGCAUUGCGAUCUACACAGAUAUCACAUGCAUAUUACUUUAAGAGCUUUUGUACUCAGUUAAUGACUCGCAGAGCUCUAAGGCACUGAGAAGUGCCCGAACUCUUAAAGUGAACUGCUCCUGAUAGAGAGCCUUUGAAUAGGUGAAGUGGCACAAGUCAGAGCAAGAAGAUCUUGUGAUCUCUCUGCUGGCUCAAGGAGUGUCCCCUCACAGUCAUAACCAGAGCACCAGGCUCAGACAAGUAUCAGCCAGGCCCCUAUCUGAGCCUAGGCGACUGCCUAUGCCAGUUUAUGGGCAAUCCAACUCUGAGAAUAUGUCAGAGGACAGAAGUUAAUUGGUUAUUUUAUAUGCCUUCUGUUGUGGAAAUGAGAUAUUGACAUAUUUUCUAGUUAGUAAAAUGCCUAUUUACUCAUUUAACUGAAAUCAGUGUAUAAGCUAUUCACGCAUAUUUAGACAAAAUGGCCACUAGAAGCUUCUAACCCCUCCCUCCCUAUAACACAGACUAACUACCUUGUGUAACAAAAUGGCGCUGGAACCCGGGGGAGAUCCUCAUGGUUCCAGUGACAUCACCCUUAGUAGGCAGAGCAUUAAGAAGACCACUUAACACCUAACCAAUUAUUGAUGUAUUAUUUCAUGUUAUCUCUGACAAUGCUUAUGAUGUAAUUUUGCUUUAAAAGGGACCUGCCGUCCCCUCUGAAUAAACAUUCAUCAACCUGAAACCUGUGUCUGGUGUGAAUUACUUCAGGGAGCGUGCACGCGUUGUUCCUUAAUUUGGCCAGGGGCAGAUACACAAAGAAUAAUCAAUUUAUUGAUUGAUUUCCAUUUCAAUUGGCGCCCAACGUGGGGCCACCAGAUUUGCCGGUUCGGAGGGCCGGAAACCAACGGACCGGAGCGGACCUCCGGAAAGUGGGACAACCGGAGCCUGAUCACCUCCACAAUACAGCCGUUGUCUGUAUUCUCCUGUUUUGUGUCAGACUGUCUCCGCGUCCACUUCUGGCUUCCAGAAGGCUACAAGAGACAGGCAAUAUCUCAUCCGGUGCCUCUUUCUAAUGAACCUGACGAUUGUCUAUCUGCCUCCUGUGUGUUUGUAUGAAUGUGUGUGACGGCCGGUUCUUUUUAUAAUCUUAGCUUGACUGCCUAGCGGGCAGGGAACGCAUAUAGCCAGUAAGGGGCUGGGUACAACCCGGGUAACAGGGUUGGGAUAUUGAGUACAGCUGGUAAGGGGCUGGGUUACAGCCGACGCAAGGCUGGGUACCACCUAGUGGAAGGUGGGGUUUUAUGUUUCUAUUGUAGACCCGGUAAAAGGUCAGAUUACAGAGUUACAGCCUAGUGAGGAAGGCUGGGGUUAUUACUAUUGUUGUUUGGUGUAUGCUGUUUUAAUAUGUACAUGGCCAUAUUACUCUCUGUCAUUAUGUGGAUGCUGUUUAACUGCUGCUACAGUGUGGGUACCCUCGGUGUGUGCGCGUGUGUCGUGUGUCUGAUCCUGGAUUCUGGGGUUUACACUCAUCUCUAUGUGUGCGAUUUCUGUAAAUGCCUUUUGGUUAGUGUUGCCACGUUUAUCUUCUCCUUUAUUCUCUACCUCUCUUGUGUCUGUUGCCCAGAGCUGUGUUAGUCACCCACGCUCGCUCGCUCCGGUUCGUGGCCACCAUCUCGGGUGGGCGGACCCUCGUGACUAGUCUACGUUUGGGGAAGACACAUGGGACCCAAGUCCCCGUGGCAGUCGAGCACUGUAGACAUUCCUAAUUCUUUUUCUCUAUAUAUCUGUCAAUAACACGUGGCUCUCUUUGUUUGGUUAAGAUGGGGCAGGAACACACUAGACCUGCUAAGGGAUUCUUGGCUUGUGAUAUUGUAAAAGAAAGAGCAGGAGAAGAUGCAAUGUUGAAAAUUAAGAAAAUAGCCAAGGUAAGUGGCUUCCAAAUGUCGCCUAGUGGUAGGCUGCAACCCGAGUUCUGGAGGAAACUGCUUGUAGAUAAGGAGGGUUUAUUGCUGGAUAAUGGGUUGACAAAAGCUGUGGUGGCUUGGUAUCGGGUCGCUAGAGGUCUCAAAUGGGAGGGUUGGACAGAGGAAGAAUUAGACUUUGAGGGACAAACAAUUUACGUGUAUCACCGAAAUGUUUGUAAUGACUAUGUAUCUCCCACUGCUUCCCGACCACCGCCCUAUGAUGGCGCCCAGAGCGUGGUGAUUAAUUCCUGCCCAGCUUCCCCCGUUACCGCCCAGACACCACCCCCCGGGGGUGUAAGUCAGGUCCCCACACCCCUGUGUCCUGUGCUCGGAGCCGAUGGUGCCUAUUACUACCCAGUGCCAAUCCAUUCCUUCCCGCAUGCUCCUACGCCCCAGUCAUUUUCCCAGCUUCCCACUGUCCCCAACCAGGCCCUGUCAUCGCCCCUCCUCCCAGUCACCCCCUCUGAUGUCCCUCCACUUCCUCCACCUCCUUGUCCUCCGCCCCUCCCACUGUCUUUAUCUGUUCCUACCUCAGCCCUCCCUCCCCCCAUUACCGAUCCCGCCCCGUCAGCUCCUGCUCUACCUCCCAAUAUCCUUGCCCCGCCCCAUCCCCCUACUACCCCGACUGCCCCAGUCUGUUCUUCUUCUUCUUCCUCUUCUCCUCCCACGGACCUCUCAUCUCUUCUCUCUGCCCUCUCAGCCCUAACCCAUCCUACUAUCUCCACCCCUACUGACCCUAUCCCUUCCCCUGCAUCUGCUGAUUCUCCUUCUCCUUCCUCCCCUCCUACUGACUUCUCAUCCCUUCUCUCCGCCCACUCAACCCUAACCCAUCCUACUGUCCCCACCCCUACUACUCCUAUCCCUCCCUCUGCAUCUGCCAAUUCUUCUCCUCUUUCUUCUCCUCCUACUGACCUCUCGUCCCUUCUCUCUGCCCUCUCAGCCUUAACCCAUCCUACUAACUCCACCCCUACUACUCCUAUCCCUCCCCCUGCAACUGCUGAUUCUCCUUCUCCUUCCUCUCCUCCUACUGACCUCUCGUCCUUCCUCUCCGCCCUCUCAGCCUUAACCCAUCCUACCAUCCCCACGCCAUCUCUCCCUGUCUCUCCCCCUGCAUCCUCUGGUUCUUCCUCUUCCCCUCUUCAUACUGACCUUUUGUCCCUUCUCUCCACCCUCUCAACCCUAACCCAUCCUACUGUCCCCGCCCCUACUCCUUCCACUACGUCGUCUUCAUCUUCUCCUCCUACUGACCUCUCAUCUCUUCUCUCCGCCCUUACAGCCUUAGCCCGUCCUACUGCUUCCACCCCCUCUACUCCUAUCCCUUCCCCUACCACCUCUGAUUCCCUCCCUCCUGCCGCUGACCUGUCGUCACUCCUUUCCGUCCUCUCAUCCUUGGCUCGUCCCACUACUCCUGUCCCUCCUCCUACACCUCUCGAUGCUACAGCUACGCCCCAACCCCCUACUCCGGGUCCUCCUGCUUUGCCUUCCCCCUCUCCACUAGCUCCUGACGCCUCUGACACAAUCUCCACCUUAGCCCAUGUCUUAAAUACUCACUUGUCACGUCCGACCCAACCUGCUCCCACCCCUGCCCCUUCCAUGGCUCUGGUUCCCUAUACUCCCCCCGUGAGCACUAGUUACCCACUUAUGUUGGUCGGUUCCGAUGAGUCAGUAACUUCGGGCCAACCCUAUGCGAUGGGUGUCUCCCCGCCAGCCUCAGGUUUCCAUCCAACCACGUCACCCAUCACGGGACUCCCGACCCCUGCCACUCCGGCCGUCCCAGCCCCCGCCUCCCUUGAUGCUGCUUCCCAUCAGGGCCCUGUUACUCCCGGGGAGGUUGAUGUAGAAGAGCAUGGCCCACUCCACCCUUGGAGUAAUAUACUCCCACGGAGACAGAUCACCUCCGGAGUGCACCCCCAGGUAUCCCCUGUCGCUGCACCACCUAUGUAUGUCACGUUUAACCCCUCACAAGCUGCCACCUUGGUUACCUCCCUCCCUGACCCAGAGAAACAUCCGAUGCCCUUCUUCUGCAGAAUGGCUCACAUUCGCAAAACAUACUCCGCUGCUUGGAGAGAUCUCUAUAGUUUGUGUGAAAUAAAAGCUGGUGAUGCCUACUGGCCAAUAAUGGCGAGGAGUUUCAGUGAUGCUCCUCUCACCACUGAUACAGACUUCCAGUCCGUUAUUACAUUUUGUGAGCAACUUCAUGCUUGGGCACAAGACAAGCUAACUGACCAAGCCACUUGUAUAAAUGACAUUGUUCAGGACAAGCUUGAGUCAGUUGAGAAAUAUCAUUCAUGUCUAACCCAGACCUUUUCAGACUUAGGGUUUAGUACAUAUAACAAAGCACACACCCAGAUGUUGUCUGCAGCCUUCGUGGCUGGUCUGAAGGAACACAUCCGUAAAGGUUUAAUCCUCUCACGCCCUGAGUAUAGAAUCAUCCCCCUAGACACCCUUUUGUUGGUUGCUAAAGGUCUAGUCAGUGUUACAACCUGUACAGAGAAGAGCUAACCCACUGAUGUUUACCGCCACAACACCUAUCACAGGACCUGCCCAUGCCACCCAUGGCUACGUGCCACAGACCCCAACUCCUACACGAGACAGGACACCCACGGCAACCAGGACCUGUUAUAACUGUCACCAGGUCGGCCACUUCCGGAGGGAAUGUCCCCAUCCAAGGUUGUUUCGACCACUGCUCCCCCGGUUUUCUAACCCUUCAGCCACUACUUAUGGAUAUCUCCCUCCAGGGUACUUUCAACCACCACCCCCUCCCCCAGUUUCACAUUUUACGCCUCCUGAAUAUUCUCAGGCUCCCCCACCACCUGCAGAUGCCCGUGCUUACCCUCCAGCUCCUGCUGAUGGGUUUGACACUGAUGAUUUUCAAGAGGGUCGGCCCAUCCCUAGACAGAGCCGUACUGCCCGCCCUGCCCUUCAGGCGAGCCUCCCCGCCACCUCCUCACGCCGUUAUACUGGCCCUGACCAGGCUCAUUUAGACUUAUUGCAAUAGGUAACCGGCAAGCCUGUGUCAGCUACCCCUGCCAUGGCAGUGUCUACAGGGGAUGGGGGUGGGCCACUAGCUACUGUAGUUCUACCCGUAGAGGGUCAUCCCACUACUUUCCUAGUUGACACAAGUGCAGCCUGUAGUGUUCUUAGAGAACAAGACCUGCCUGACCCAUCUUUCCUGUCUGAUACCGAUGUCUCUUGCAGUAGCCCACUCACAAAACUCCUCCAUGUGGGGUCAGAUAUCCUCUCCCGGUUUGUUGUCUCCUCCACGUGCCCCAUUAACCUUUUGGGUGCUGAUGUUCUGUCCCGUCUACAAGCGUCCAUUACUUUUACUGCAGACGGCCAAGUUCACUUAAAUACACCCCUGUCACGGAAAGAUACUUCAGCACUUUGUUCCAUCCCCAUACUACUACAUCUUGCAUCUCCCCCAGGGGAAUCAAGGGUCCCUCAUGCCCCCAGUGCUCUGGAAAAGAUCCCUGCAAAGCUCUGGUCCACUGGCCCUGAUGAUAUUGGACGCCUUAAAGUUCCCCCCGUUGUGGUCACACUACUGCAGGGAGUUGCGCCUCCCCGAAGACCCCAGUAUCCACUGAAACCCGCCCAGGCACUCGCCAUUUCCAAGCAAGUGGAAAGCCUCCUAGCUAAAGGUGCCCUUGUCAAGUGUGUGUCACCAUGCAACAUUCCCCUCUUCCCUGUUAAGAAGAAAACUGAAAAGGGGCAACCUGAUCAGUACCGUAUGGUCCAGGAUUUACGUGCUGUUAAUGAAGUAACCAUCAAGGAUACUGCAAUUGUUCCAAAUCCACAUACCCUGCUGUCCCAGGUUCCACCCACUGCUACAGUCUUUACUGUGGUAGAUCUUGCUAAUGCAUUUUUCAGUGUGCCCCUUGACCCAUCCUGUCAACACCUCUUUGCCUUUACCCACGAAGGUCAGCAAUACACAUGGACUGUCAUGCCUCAGGGGGCUCAAAAUUCCCCCACUCAGUUUGCCCGCGCCAUGUCAAUGGUUCUGGAACCCUGGCAAAAGACUUACUCAGAUGUAGUCCUGCUUCAAUAUGUUGAUGACUUACUUCUCUGUGCUGCUGAUCUCCAGACUGCUGAACGAGAUUCUGAGGACCUCCUCUGCUUCCUUGCUUGUCUCCAAAUCAAAACUCCAGUGGUGCCGGCCCUCUGUGGUCUUCUUGGGACAUUGCCUCUCCCAUGGCACCCGUCACUUCACCAAACAAAGGAUCUUAGCCAUCUUGAAUCUACCAUUACCUGCAGCUCAUCAGUCUCUCCAUGGCUUUUUAGGCCUCAUCACGUAUUGCAGAUCCUGGAUUCCAGAAGCCUCCCAGCUAAUGCAACCACUCUACGAUGCCCUGAAGAGCGAGCCCUUCUCACUCUCACCACAUGCCAUUGCCUGCUUCACUGCCCUGAAGAAAUCCAUUGCUUCUGCGCCAGCCUUGGGCCUACCGAACUAUCAGCUGCCCUUCAAGUUGUUUGUGUCUGAAAAAUUGGGCCACGCUUCCGGCGUUCUUACUCAAAAACAUGGCUUCAGACAGAGACCCAUUGGCUACUUCUCCUGCAUGCUUGACCCCGUAGUCAGAGGUAGUCCCUCUUGCCUGAGGGCAGUGUUUGCUGCCAGUGCCUUGCUGGACAAAACCAAUGACUUUGUUACUGGUCACACUCUGACCGUCUUGGCUCCUCAUGACAUUUCUGCCAUCCUUCAACAAGUUCAACCCAAGCAUCUCUACCUACUCUUACACCUCCUGCACCUCCACAUGAUGUACAACCAGAGAACUUGCUACACUGUACCUUGUGGUUCAAAGACAGCCCAGGCCCUGAUGUGGAUUAUGAAGAAGAAGAAUUUCAGCUCGUGGAAAUUCACAUCACACUGACAGACUUGUUGUGGGACCCCAGAGGCAACAUGGUCCUGCUGGUACACCUCCCAGCAGAAGCAUCCCACCUCUACCAUCAUUGGGAGACAGCUGUCCCACACGUAUCCCUCACCAAGUCCCCUGAUCUCUCAUGGAAAGAUUUAGACCCAAUGGCCAAGUCCUGGAGUGCAACAACCCAGGAACAACUGGACUCUAUGGGAGUAACUAAAAAGAUUAUCAACUGCAGUACAGUUGGAUAUCCUAGAUACCAUACAGAAAUUUGUGAAGACCUACCUUCCCGGAACAUGACUCAGAAACCCCUCAUGAUUGCUUUGAACAGAUGAAGAUGGAAACUACCCAUUUACCAACUGUACACGAGACUGCUCUGCUUACUCCAGACCAAACACUGUUUGUGGAUGGUUCCAGAGUUGCUGAUGAACAAGGGCAAUAUCACACUGGGUAUGCAGUUACUACAGAAAGCCAAAUAUUACAGGCAGCCGCACUUCCGCCAACUAAAUAAGCUCAAGAGGCCGAGCUAACAGCCCUCACAGUGGCCUGCAAACUAUCUGAAGGUCUACGUGUCAAUAUUUAUACAGAUUCGAGAUAUGCCCUGGGAGUGGCACACGAUUUUGGCCUAAUUUGGAAAACUAGAGGAUUUCUCACAGCUACCGGUACUCCGGUGAAACAUGGGGCGGCCAUUGAAGGACUGAUGGAUGCUUUGGUACUUCCUGCAGAAGUGGCAGUGUUAAAAGUAAAAGCCCAUGGGAGACUAAAUUCAGAGGAAGCACGAGGCAACCAUUUAGCUGACCAAGCCACCAAGGAAGCAGCACGACAAGGGUGGAAAGUGGACAGAAGAGUGGCCACUGAAAUCCAUCUACACUAUGCAGACAUUACUUACAGAUCUUAGACUUCUAAAGGAGCAACAAGCAGCUGCCACCCCUCAAGAGAAGCAAAGUUGGAAGAACAGAGGGGCUAUCCUCCGAGAUGAUGUUUAUACCAUCAAUCUUAAGUUCUGCCUUUCCAAGAACAUGUAUCCAGCUGUUGUCCAAUGGGCUCAUGGGCCAGCCCAUCUGUCAAAACAUUUGAUGAACUCUCUGAUUGAUAAAUACUUUGAUGGCACCAGGUAUUACUACUCUGACACAGAACUAUUGUAGAUCCUGUACAAUUUGUGCUAAAUGCAACCCUGGAAAGAUCGUUAAAACUGCACCCAAUCACUUGGCCAAGCCCCAGUACCCUUUCCAGAGGAUACAGAUUGACCACAUCCAGAUGCCAAAGAGUGGAAGUUAUGAAUACGCACUAGUCAUUGUGGAUAUGUUCUCAGGGUAGCCAGAAGCUUUCCCAGUGGCUAAUCUUACCACAAGGACCACAGCUAAACAUCUUCUGACGGAAAUUGUCUGCCGGUAUGGAGUUCCAGAAGUGAUUGAAAGCGACCAAGGAACCUCCUUCACCGCCUCAUUGACACAGGAAGUCUGGUCAGCACUGGGGGUGACCCUUGCCUUCCACACACCAUAUCACGCACAGAGUAGCGGUAAAGUAGAACGCAUGAAUGGCACAUUGAAGGCCAGAAUGCUUAAGAUGUCCCAAGAAACUAACAUGCCCUGGCCUGAGAGUCUUCCAUUAGCAUUAUUUAGUGUAAGGUUCACCCCUAUGAGAUCCUGUUCGGCACAGCACCAAGGUUAGGUUGUUACUUCCCCCAACAACUCCAGAUUCAGUCAGAUGCAAUGGUAGAUUAUGUAACUGCUCUCUCUCAUGCCUUGACCAAAAUCCAUGCCCAAGUGUUUUCUUCUAUUCCAGAUCCUGAGUCGAAUACAGGUACACACAAGUUGCUCCCUGGUGACUGGGUUAUGGUCAAGAAAUUCCUCAGGAAACCCACCCUUGAGCCAAGAUUUGAUGGUCCUUACCAAGUGCUACUGAUUACAGCUACCUCAGUGAAACUGGCAGGAAAGAGUUCCUGGAUACACGCCUUACACUGCAAAAAAGUGCCUGCUCCAGAAGAAGUUGCCCCUGCCGAGCUAUGAGUUUUCUGUGUUCCUUGUGUUUUCUCUUGCUGCUAAACUUUACAGGGGCUCAACAAGUGGCUAUAACUAAAGAUAACCAUGUUUAUACCUUUUGGUACAAUUCCUCAAACACAGAUAUGGCUACCUUUUCUUUUGAUUAUUGUGAUAUUGUCACCUGCACCUUUCCACAAACACAAUAUGCUGCUAUAUACAAGGACAUACCCAGUAACAAAGACCCAUACAUUUGUGUGAC
rnacentral:lncRNA from 1 species